UCCAAGAUUUUGACCAAACCUGAUCAAGAACUGGC
rnacentral:sRNA from 1 species